GCAGCCUCGCAUAGUUCCAAACAAUCCAUUCACGGCGUCGGACAUCAUUCACUUUCAUUGCUGGCCGUCAAGUAACUUCUGAGCAGCCCUACUGGUGCUGGCGACGGCUGCUGAAAUAAGAGGAGACUGGAGGCUGCGGACGGUGUGCCGGGGAUGGAGAGGCCAAAUACAUCCAUGGCAACCAGUAAGGUGUUUGGCAGUGGACUAGAUGUUAGGACCUUAUGUGAGGAAGUCUCCUGUGUUGAAAUUGCCUUCUUAGUCUGACUCUUGCUGCCAAGGUACCCCUUAUCACGGCUGUUUACCCUGAUGCACUAUGAUUGAAUCCUUAACCUCAGCCUGAUAUAUGUGGAGGAUAGUUUUUGUUAAUUAAUCACUUAUACUAUUCCCCCUAUUCCUGGCUCUACUUUGUUGCUCUUAUUCAUACUUGUUCCCACUUGUUUUUUGUUCCACAAACCUCAACCUGAUAUAUGUGGAGAGGAUUUGUUUUAUUAAACACUCAGCAUCUCAAACACUAACCCCCAAAACUCCUGGCUCCAGCUUUACAUGCUGUAUCCUCCUUUGCAGCGUGCAGAUGUUAGGCAGUAGAAUCUGCAUUUGCUGAAGGGUUUUAUAACCAGUGGUGCCAGCGGUGAAUCUUAGUUGUAUUGCUUUUUUUUAAUUGUCUCCUUUCCCCACUGUAUUCAUUUUUUCUGUACUUGUUCUUGUGUCACUCAUUGUUUAAUAAAAAUUUUUUUUUCA